GAACCAGGCAUUGAUUGCGUCCAGCGAUACAUCCAAGAUGACUCCAGUGAUGACAUACUGCUCUUUGCUGUGAUCCUGUAAGGGAGGUCCAAGUUCACUGUUGAUCUGGCCGCAGCAUCAAUCUAAUUGGUAAAUAGUUUAGCCGGCCUUCUUUCACCGACAGACAACACCAUGGUCAAGAUGGCUUUGCAAGGCUUCAAUAGGCUGACCUCUUCACCGACCAUCAGGAAGGAGCCCAUUACAUCAGACAGACUGGCACAGUUGCAUCAAAAUGGACAUGCCUCUUAACAUUAGCAGACCUUCAAACACUCUUCGUUUAUCCAUUUUUUUUUAUGCCGGUUUUCUUCCCUUUGACAACUUGAAGAAUAUCACAAGAAAGGACCGUACAAUAUCUUCAAAUCAACUAACUAUACACCUUCCCAAAUCUAAACUAGACCAACUUUGGCAAGAAGCAGAAGUUAUUAUCGCAUGGUCUCAUAAACUGACAUGUCCAGUGCUCACAGCGGAGUGCUAUUUUUCUGUGUUAGGGGACCCGGCAGAUUGGUCUCUACCUGUACUUCACAGUCUGGUUGCUACUAAGGACGGACUGAAACCGUCUUCUCAACCAAUCAGUUACACAUUCACCAGGGAGGUCGUAUUGGCUGCUCUGCAUCACCUUGUUCCCGACCUUACCAUUUACGGUCUUCAUAGCCUGAGAGUGGGUGGGUCCUCUGCCACCUUCAAUGCUAAUGUUCUGCCAUUCUUAAUAUCUAACAGGGCAGGUGGAAAACAGAGAGCACUAGGAACAUGUACUUCAAGUUAGAGAGAUUCUAACUUGUUAGCUUCUAAAAGUCUCGGCAUUUAAACUGAGUUCGAACCAAAUUGUCAUUGCUGCUGUCUAUCCUUUUCUCAUGAGGCUAAAUUACAAAGAGAAAGUUGCGAUAAAUGAUUCGCUAUCAGAGACUGCACUGACCUACAGUAAUGAAAGGUUUAGAGUUUCAUCAUACAGUUGUAUAAGCGAUGUUGGUUACAGCCAUAGCUUUGAGGAAUGCCUGUUCAGAUUACAUGUACUUGAAGUAACCGAUGUAAACAAAUCCCCCAAUAUGCAUUAUGUCGUUUGUAAGGUAGAAAAAUAAGCACCAGUCGUGAUUUAAUUGAAACUUGUGAGAAGGCAGUAGUACAGCCUUGAAUGGCUCAACUCUGAUGACAUGUUUUUACGGAUUUCUUGAUUUAAUAUUUUCUAUUAAAUGUCAUACAAGAUGGUGACGUAACGCAUACAAAAUAAUGUAAAUAGGUUUCAGAAUCAUGAGAAUGUGACAACGAAUAUGUAGUAAACCAGCAGGGUUCGCUCAUGACUGAU